UACGAAGGGGGCUAGCGUUGCUCGGAAUUACUGGGCGUAAAGCGCACGUAGGCGGCUUUCUAAGUCGGGGGUGAAAUCCUGGAGCUCAACUCCAGAACUGCCUUCGAUACUGGAAAGCUCGAGUCCGGGAGAGGUGAGUGGAACUGCGAGUGUAGAGGUGAAAUUCGUAGAUAUUCGCAAGAACACCAGUGGCGAAGGCGGCUCACUGGCUCGACACUGACGCUGAGGUGCGAAAGCGUGGGGAGCAAACAGG
rnacentral:rRNA from 1 species